GCGCUCGUAGCUCAGCUGGAUAGAGCGUUGGCCUCCGGAGCCAAAGGCCCCGUGUUCGAAUCACGGCGGGCGCGCCA
rnacentral:tRNA from 1 species